GACGAACGCUGGCGGCGUGCCUAAUACAUGCAAGUAGAACGCUGAAGAGAGGAGCUUGCUCUUCUUGGAUGAGUUGCGAACGGGUGAGUAACGCGUAGGUAACCUGCCUUGUAGCGGGGGAUAACUAUUGGAAACGAUAGCUAAUACCGCAUAACAAUGGAUGACACAUGUCAUUUAUUUGAAAGGGGCAAUUGCUCCACUACAAGAUGGACCUGCGUUGUAUUAGCUAGUAGGUGAGGUAACGGCUCACCUAGGCGACGAUACAUAGCCGACCUGAGAGGGUGAUCGGCCACACUGGGACUGAGACACGGCCCAGACUCCUACGGGAGGCAGCAGUAGGGAAUCUUCGGCAAUGGGGGCAACCCUGACCGAGCAACGCCGCGUGAGUGAAGAAGGUUUUCGGAUCGUAAAGCUCUGUUGUAAGUCAAGAACGAGUGUGAGAGUGGAAAGUUCACACUGUGACGGUAGCUUACCAGAAAGGGACGGCUAACUACGUGCCAGCAGCCGCGGUAAUACGUAGGUCCCGAGCGUUGUCCGGAUUUAUUGGGCGUAAAGCGAGCGCAGGCGGUUUGAUAAGUCUGAAGUUAAAGGCUGUGGCUCAACCAUAGUUCGCUUUGGAAACUGUCAAACUUGAGUGCAGAAGGGGAGAGUGGAAUUCCAUGUGCAGCGGUGAAAUGCGUAGAUAUAUGGAGGAACACCGGUGGCGAAAGCGGCUCUCUGGUCUGUAACUGACGCUGAGGCUCGAAAGCGUGGGGAGCGAACAGGAUUAGAUACCCUGGUAGUCCACGCCGUAAACGAUGAGUGCUAGGUGUUGGAUCCUUUCCGGGAUUCAGUGCCGCAGCUAACGCAUUAAGCACUCCGCCUGGGGAGUACGACCGCAAGGUUGAAACUCAAAGGAAUUGACGGGGGCCCGCACAAGCGGUGGAGCAUGUGGUUUAAUUCGAAGCAACGCGAAGAACCUUACCAGGUCUUGACAUCCCGAUGCUAUUUCUAGAGAUAGAAAGUUACUUCGGUACAUCGGUGACAGGUGGUGCAUGGUUGUCGUCAGCUCGUGUCGUGAGAUGUUGGGUUAAGUCCCGCAACGAGCGCAACCCCUAUUGUUAGUUGCCAUCAUUCAGUUGGGCACUCUAGCGAGACUGCCGGUAAUAAACCGGAGGAAGGUGGGGAUGACGUCAAAUCAUCAUGCCCCUUAUGACCUGGGCUACACACGUGCUACAAUGGUUGGUACAACGAGUUGCGAGUCGGUGACGGCAAGCUAAUCUCUUAAAGCCAAUCUCAGUUCGGAUUGUAGGCUGCAACUCGCCUACAUGAAGUCGGAAUCGCUAGUAAUCGCGGAUCAGCACGCCGCGGUGAAUACGUUCCCGGGCCU
rnacentral:rRNA from 1 species